GCAAAGGGAUAAAUAAAUGACAGCCUUUGGAGUGGCGUCCCCUCGAAGAUGCUUAGCUUCCAGGGAGUAAACUGCACAUUGAAUUUAACAGGCUGCUUUUGGCAUGUAAAAGCAAAAGGGACAGCCUGAUCAUGCCACUUUUUCGACGUCAGAGUGAAAAAUGUCGUAAACGGCAGCAACGACAGGAAGUGCUGGCACAACAAGACCCAGAACCAAACUUUGAUCUGUCAGAAUGUGAAUUACAGGAGGUUCCUUCUGGCGUUUAUGCAAUCUGCAAGGUGCUCCAAAAAGAGGCUCUUUUUCUACACUGCAACUGGCUCAGCUCACUAAAUGGAGGUGGAAUUCUUUCAGACCUCUUCUUGUUAAGGAUAUUAAAUUUGGAAAAUAACAAGCUGAAGAAACUGCCUGAAAAUAUUGGGAAGCUUUCCAAUCUGCAAAAUCUUAAUGUGAAAGGCAACCACUCGAGAGAGUUACCCAGUGGAAUAUGUAAUCUGCCUGUACUGAGGCUUCUGGAUGUCUCUAAGAAUGAAAUAACAAGGCUUAAUCAACGCCUGGCUUAUGUUCGAACUCUUGAGACACUGCUACUAGAUGAGGACAAGAUGCAGUACCCUGCCAAAGAGAAUGAAUUGAACUACCAGCCUCCUUCAUUUUCUGCUCUGGAAGUCUUACCACCUCCAAGGGGUAUCAGAAGCUCACAGAGUGAAAAUUGCAUCAAAGCUUUGCCAGAUGAGGCCCACAUCAUGGAAAGUCUGCAGCAAUAUCAAAACUUCAUGAAACAGAAGCGAGUGGAAUCAUGUGUCUUAGAGCAACAACUGGCAAACGAGAAUCGUCUUCAUAGAGAGUUGGCAGCUGCAAACAAACAAAGUCUUGUGGAUGCAAUUUCUCAGGAUCAAGUACGUAUGGACAAAGAGUUGAACCAGUUGUCCCAGAAGAAAGAGGAGGAGCGUAAAAGAUUUUUUAGCGUUCUUAACAACGUUGAAAAGCAGGCAGAAGAUCUAACUGUCUUAACUGGCAGAUGUCAGUGAAAAGGCUCGCAAAACAGAGGCCCUUCUAGAUGAAGUAGAGAAAAAGCGCAUGCAGGAAGAUGACUGGUUUACAGUCACCUGGGAAGAACUGCACAACCUAUGCCGUCGUGAAGUGCUUGAUGGGAUGAAACAGAUUCUGAGUGAGUUUGAAAUAUUUGAGGACCAAAGGCGGCUUAUGGAGAGAGAGAGAGUCGGGGAGAACGAGCUUUACAAUUGGAGAAAGUUGCAGAAAAUGGGCAGGUAGAAAGCAUGUUAUACCACAGAGAGAUAGGACAGCGGACUGCUAUGCGUACUCUGGAAGAACAGGAGAAAUUGCAGAAGCAAGCAUUCCAAGCACUCCAGAUGGCCAGAGAUGCUAAGCAUUCCCGUAUUAGUAAUCAGAUAGUGCUCAUUGAAGCAGAACUUGCACAGCUUACAGUGGUGGAGAUUGACAGAAAGUCAAUGCGGUUGGAAACUGAAAAAGCUGCCUGUGUUUGCUGUGCAGGGUGACUCAUAUCAGAGAAUGAUAGGAUCUUGGAGGCUGAGGUCCCUGGUGGGUUACAGCCUAUCAUACCAACAUACCUCUUCAGCCUGGAUUUCUUAUAAGCAGAAAGUUGGUGUGCCCCUUAUUGGCUGGUCAUGACUGGUCAAUGCCCUAGUUUUGCUAGAAGGCUGCGAUCAGCGUCAAUCUGUCACAAUCUCUGAAGAAUCUUCUGGCAGAGAAGCGUAUUGCCUUGACAGCUAUGUUAUCCCAGCUUCUGAAAGAACAGUUCCUUCGAGAGCAUGAGUUGCAACAACGACUGUCAGAAAUGGAAGAGCAGCGAGAGAAUGGGCAGGCAGACUACUGGCUUGUGCAUACCAGCGUCUUCUAGAUCGAAA